CGGACGGGUGAGUAAUGUAUGGGGAUCUGCCUGAUGGCGGGGGAUAACUACUGGAAACGGUAGCUAAUACCGCAUAAUGUCUACGGACCAAAGCGGGGGACCUCCGGGCCUCGCGCCAUCAGAUGAACCCAUAUGGGAUUAGCUUGUAGGUAAGGUAACGGCUUACCUAGGCGACGAUCCCUAGCUGGUCUGAGAGGAUGAUCAGCCGCACUGGGACUGAGACACGGCCCAG
rnacentral:rRNA from 1 species